rnacentral:rRNA from 1 species
AGUGAACGCUGGCGGUAGGCCUAACACAUGCAAGUCGAACGGCACCACAGUAAGAGCUUGCUCUUACGGGUGGCGAGUGGCGGACGGGUGAGGAAUACAUCGGAAUCUACUUUUUCGUGGGGGAUAACGUAGGGAAACUUACGCUAAUACCGCAUACGACCUACGGGUGAAAGCAGGGGAUCUUCGGACCUUGCGCGAUUGAAUGAGCCGAUGUCGGAUUAGCUAGUUGGCGGGGUAAAGGCCCACCAAGGCGACGAUCCGUAGCUGGUCUGAGAGGAUGAUCAGCCACACUGGAACUGAGACACGGUCCAGACUCCUACGGGAGGCAGCAGUGGGGAAUAUUGACAAUGGGCGCAAGCCUGAUGCAGCCAUACCGCGUGGGUGAAGAAGGCCUUCGGGUUGUAAAGCCCUUUUGUUGGGAAAGAAAAGCAGCAGGUUAAUACCCCGCUGUUCUGACGGUACCCAAAGAAUAAGCACCGGCUAACUUCGUG